ACCCCUGUAACAUCAUGUCCAAGUAAUAGCGACCAGCGUCAGCAUUAUAAGGAAUGUAGAAAAAAUAGCAGCUAAAACACCAACCCAUGCAAGAAAAGGAGUUAAACAUGACGAAGGUAAGGGAAUCCCAGAUCAUCCAUACGAAGAUGAGGAGAUAUAUUAGGCGGAGGAGAAGCAUGCCAUACCGGGGAUGGAGAAAUUCGAUUCAAUGUAAACCCCACGAAGAUGGAACAAGAAGCAGUGGAGUCUCUCCAUCAACUUUCAAUUUGAUUGAAUUCAGAAUAGUACGAUAAUCGGAAGGAGAUUGGAACUUGGGACGUCGGACGUAGGGUGAAUGCUGAGUAAAGAGGAUGAGAUUUUGGAUGACGACCCUGCUGAAGCUUUUUGGCUUUUGGAUACUGCUGAAAAUGGAUGUGGCAAUUGUUGAAACUCAAAUUUAUCAACCACCCAUUGUUGUUCGCUAAUUCAGUUUCAUUGUUUCAGAUUUCUUGUUGGUGUAAGUUGUCAUAAGAUAGAGCGAAAAAUAGCAGUAUGAAAAAGAGGUUGCUUUCUUUGCUGUCUAUAGGAGAUUGAGUCGUCACAGCUGAUAUUGUUUUGAACUAGCAACCGUUACCUUUUCUAAAGGGUCAUUUUUACAGUUUCAAGUUAUUCUGGUAUUUGGCAUGGUAUCAUGGGAAGAUGUCAAAAUUU